UACGUAGGGGGCUAGCGUUGUCCGGAUUUAUUGGGCGUAAAGAGCGUGUAGGCGGCCAGGUAGGUCUGCUGUGAAAACUCGAGGCUCAACCUCGAGACGUCGGCGGAAACCAUCUGGCUAGAGUCCGGAAGAGGAGAGUGGAAUUCCUGGUGUAGCGGUGAAAUGCGCAGAUAUCAGGAAGAACACCCGUGGCGAAGGCGGCUCUCUGGGACAGUACUGACGCUGAGGAGCGAAAGCAUGGGGAGCGAACAGG
rnacentral:rRNA from 1 species